CAGGCGUGUGCUCUUCCUGUCUGUAAAAUCUGGUGUGAACUCUGCACACAGAUGCUCUGUGUGUGCUUACUGGAUGGAGGAACUAAUUAACAGAGGGGAGAAACACUGCUCUGUGGACUGAGACGCAGUAACGUCCAGGUAACAGACAAUCCAAAGCAGAAAACGCUUUUCCCACGUCUUCUAGGGACGUUCCUCCCCAGUGGAAGAACAAAACUGUUAUUUGCCUUUUUGGGGAAAAUGAAAUGAAAUAAGCUAUCUCCAAGAAGCAGACAAAAAUUUUGCCCUUAAAAACGUAUUUUAAAAGUUUUAAAAAGGAAUGUUUACCUCGAACCUCUGCUCUAUGCAGAUCAGAAACCCUACCCAGGUAGUCAUUCAUUUCGUAGGAUUUGAA